rnacentral:rRNA from 1 species
ACNAGACCGGACUACGCGUAAGCACCCGCAGGAGGACAAUUGNACAUGGCCCAGUAAGACCGCGGGGGAAAUUGCCAAAACACAAGCANAACGAAGACGAGAAAGAUCAGGNAGACAAAGCACACAAGAACNACGGCAGAACAGGNAAGAGAAANAGCUCCANAAACAGCCGAAUGAGGAGAGACAAAAGANAAAAAAGAACAACAAAAAACAAAU